rnacentral:tRNA from 1 species
GCCUAUCUAGUUCAGUUGGUAAAACACAAGACUCUUAACCUUGUGGUUGUGGGUUUGAGCCCCAUAGUUAGCA